rnacentral:lncRNA from 1 species
UUCCCAUUCUUCCCUGCACACCGUCAACACAUAAGGACUCAAAUUAAGAUGAUGUAUAUGUUUACACUCCAAAAUUUUUAAAGAAAAAGGAGAGAGAGAGAAAAAAGUAAAAGAAAAGAAACCCAAAAGGGAAAAUAUAGCUAAGGUGAACUGCAAAACCACAUUCCUGCUGCUGUCAGUUAUGACGCACUGAGAAAUCUUCAGAGACCUAAACUUUUUCCACAAGAUGACUGGAGAAAAAUAAAUCACCAAAUAUCAUAAAGAUACUUGCAUGUUUUGUAAGUGAUUAAUGACUGCUUUCUCAUAACAGUAAAAACUAUUUUGUUUUGUAUGAGAGGAUUUUUCACUCUAACUUUUAAAAAAAUCAUUACAUACAAAUAUAUCACAUCAAACCCAAAAGCCAUUGCUAGCACACUGGUUCCUGUCUUAAUAUUAAGUAUGAGACAAAAGGCCUUUAUCUUCCAGAAAGUUGUUUAUAACAUGCCAAAUAUGUGAACACCCAAUAGUCAAAGGACAUUAUCUCUGUGAUGCAAUUUUGAAAGUUGGUAAAAUAAUUUUUUAUCAAUUUCAUCCUACAAGCACAUAAUUUAAACCAUUCUUUUAAAGUGGAUUUUAGAAGAUUGGAAGUUUUAGAAGUCAGUCCCUCCACAAAAACUGCCAUUAAACUGCAAAAAAUAAGAAUUAACCUUUUUGGAACUCUGGAUCCUAAUCAGAUAAAUAACAACCAUUAGUAGAGUGCUUGAUGCUAUUGGUCUUUAGUAAGAAAGUGGCUGCAUGCACACGCCAGAUAACAUCACUCAUUCUUAUUCACAAGAGUCAAAAAGUGAAAACAAACCUGUAUGUGUGGAUAAACAAAAUGUGGCAUGUACAUACAAGGGAAUAUUAUUUAGCCAUAAAAAGGGAAUGAUGUUCUGAUACAUGUUUACAACAUGGAUAAACCUUGAAAACAUUAUGCUAAAUAAAAUAAGCCAGACACAAAAGGACAAACAGUAUAUGAUUCUACUUAUAUGAAAGAUCAUGAAUAGUCAAAUUCAUGUAGAGGGAAUGCAGAUUGCAUGUUUCCAGAGCAUGGAGGCUGGGGCAAGGGGAAUGAAGAAUUAGUGCUUAAUGGUACAGAACUUCUGUUUGAUGUGAUACAAAAGUUAUGAAAACAGUGUUAAUUAUACAACAUUGUGAAUGUAUUCAAUAUCACUGAGUUUUAGAAUUGAAAAUGAUUAAAUGGUACCUUUUAUGUUAUGUAUAUUUACCACUGGGUAAUAAAAUUGUAUUAAUG